AAAGGGAGACCUAAUUCAGGUAGGAGACGAAAAAAAAGUAGUCCCUACCAAGAAUCAAUCCCAAAAGGUCGGAACGAGGUGUGUGGCUUUCAAACUAGGUUCUGGGUUCAUAAAAGACCUGAAUCAGGAACAAGGGCUAUUAGCUCAGGUGGUUAGAGCGCACCCCUGAUAAGGGUGAGGUCCCUGGUUCGAGUCCAGGAUGGCCCACCUGCACAGGUGGCAAAAACAAGAGAAGCGAGGAAUCAGCACCUUAUCUUACUGACAUAGUAAGAGAGAAUGCUGGCUCUGAGUAAAGAGUCCAGAGGAACCUUGAAAACUGCAUAGAGCUAGGUGAAAAAGCCAAAAAAGAAGACCGCAAA
rnacentral:tRNA from 1 species